UAAGCAUAUCAAUAAGCGGAGGAAAAGAAACCAACAGGGAUUGCCCCAGUAACUGCGAGUGAAGCGGCAAGAGCUCAGAUUUGGAACCUGCCGUCCGCGGGCGGCCGGAUUGUAAUCUGGAGAGACAUCUUCUGGGAGGGCAGCCGGUCCAAGUCCCCCUGGAACGGGGCGUCGGAGAGGGUGAGAAUCCCGUACCUGGCCGGCCCGCUCCCCCGUGUGGAGUGUCUUCGACGAGUCGAGUUGUUUGGGAAUGCAGCUCAAAAUGGGUGGUAAGCUCCAUCUAAAGCUAAAUAUUGGCGGGAGACCGAUAGCGCACAAGUAGAGUGAUCGAAAGAUGAAAAGUACCUUGAAAAGGGGGUUAAACAGUACGUGAAAUUGUUGAAAGGGAAGCGCUUGAGACCGUAGCUGGGAGGGGGAUGACCGGUGUUUUGUACGCCGCUCUCUCGCCCUCCCACAGGCCAGCAUCGGUUGCGGUGGCGGGAUAAAGGGUCCGGGAACGUGGCCCUCCCUCGGGGGGGUGUUAUAGCCCGGGUCGACACGCCGCUUCGCCGCGACCGAGGACCGCACGAUGUAAGGAUGCUGGUGAGAUUAGGUCUUCAGCGACCCGUCUUGAAACACGGACCAAGGAGUCUAACAUCUAUGCGAGUGUUUGGGUGCGAAACCCUUGCGCGUAAUGAAAGUGAUUUAAGUUUGGGAGAUCGACCCCUUCCCCGGAAGGGCGUACCAUCUGCCGAUCCUGAUGUCUUCGGAUGGAAUCGAGCAGGAGCAUAGCUGUUGGGACCCGAAAGAUGGUGAACUAUGCCUGAAUAGGGUGAAGCCAGAGGAAACUCUGGUGGAGGCUCGCAGCGGUUCUGACGUGCAAAUCGAUCGUCAAAUUUGGGUAUAGGGGCGAAAGACUAAUCGAACCGUCUAGUAGCUGGUUCCUGCCGAAGUUUCCCU
rnacentral:rRNA from 1 species